UACGGGGGGGGCAAGCGUUGUUCGGAAUUACUGGGCGUAAAGGGCACGUAGGCGGCUUUGUAAGUUAGAGGUGAAAGCCCGGGGCUCAACUCCGGAACUGCCUUUAAGACUGCAUCGCUUGAAUCCAGGAGAGGUGAGUGGAAUUCCGAGUGUAGAGGUGAAAUUCGUAGAUAUUCGGAAGAACACCAGUGGCGAAGGCGGCUCACUGGACUGGUAUUGACGCUGAGGUGCGAAAGCGUGGGGAGCAAACAGG
rnacentral:rRNA from 1 species